rnacentral:rRNA from 1 species
AGUGAACGCUGGCGGUAGGCCUAACACAUGCAAGUCGAACGGCAGCACAGUAAGAGCUUGCUCUUACGGGUGGCGAGUGGCGGACGGGUGAGGAAUACAUCGGAAUCUACUUUUUCGUGGGGGAUAACGUAGGGAAACUUACGCUAAUACCGCAUACGACCUACGGGUGAAAGCAGGGGAUCUUCGGACCUUGCGCGAUUGAAUGAGCCGAUGUCGGAUUAGCUAGUUGGCGGGGUAAAGGCCCACCAAGGCGACGAUCCGUAGCUGGUCUGAGAGGAUGAUCAGCCACACUGGAACUGAGACACGGUCCAUACUACUACGGGAGGCAGCAGUGGGGAAUAGUGGACAAUGGGCGCAAGCCUGAUCCAACCAUACCGAGUGGGUGAAGAAGGCCUUCGGGUUGUGAAGCCCUUUUGUUGGGAAAGAAAAGCAGCAGGUUAAUACGCCGCUGUUCUGACGGUACCCAAUGAAUAAGCACCGGCUAACUUCGUG